rnacentral:rRNA from 1 species
GACGAACGCUGGCGGCGUGCUUAACACAUGCAAGUCGAACGGAAAGGCCCUGCAUUUGUGGGGUGCUCGAGUGGCGAACGGGUGAGUAACACGUGAGUAACCUGCCCUUGUCUUUGGGAUAAAUUCAGGAAACUGGGGCUAAUACCGGAUAGGAGAUCCUGCUGCAUGGUGGGGGUUGGAAAGUUUCGGCGGUUGGGGAUGGACUCGCGGCUUAUCAGCUUGUUGGUGGGGUAGUGGCUUACCAAGGCAUUGACGGGUAGCCGGCCUGAGAGGGUGACCGGCCACAUUGGGACUGAGAUACGGCCCAGACUCCUACGGGAGGCAGCAGUGGGGAAUAUUGCACAAUGGGCGGAAGCCUGAUGCAGCAACGCCGCGUGCGGGAUGACGGCCUUCGGGUUGUAAACCGCUUUCGCCUGUGACGAAGCGUGAGUGACGGUAAUGGGUAAAGAAGCACCGGCUAACUACGUG